rnacentral:rRNA from 1 species
CAGUCGCCACGGUAAUACGAAGGGUGCAAGCGUUAAUCGGAAUUACUGGGCGUAAAGCGCGCGUAGGUGGUUUGGUAAGAUGGAUGUGAAAUCCCCGGGCUCAACCUGGGAACUGCAUCCAUAACUGCCUGACUAGAGUAUGGUAGAGGGUGGUGGAAUUUCCUGUGUAGCGGUGAAAUGCGUAGAUAUAGGAAGGAACACCAGUGGCGAAGGCGACCACCUGGACUGAUACUGACACUGAGGUGCGAAAGCGUGGGGAGCAAACAGGAUUAGAUACCCCCGUAGUCCCUGUCUCUUAUAC